rnacentral:tRNA from 1 species
GCCUUCGUGGUGUAGAGGUCAGCACGCUCGACGCGUAUUCGAGAGGUCCGGGGUUCGAGUCCCGGCGAGGGCA